CCCUUAGAUGUCCUGGGCCGCACGCGUGCUACACUGACGCCUACAGCGAGUACUUCCCAGCCCCGAGAGGUGGCUGGUAAUCAGCAAUAGGCGUCGUGAUGGGGAUAGAUCUUUGGAAUUAUGGAUCUUGAACGAGGAAUGCCUAGUAAGCGCAGGUCAUUAGCCUGCGCUGAUUAAGUCCCUGCCCUUUGUACACACCGCCCGUCGCUCCUACCGAUUUCGAGUGGUCCGGUGAAUCUUUCGGACUGCGCGCGGCCCCGUGCCGUGUCGCGGAAAGUCAGGUAAACCUUNUNACUUAGNGGAAGGAGAANUCGUANCA
rnacentral:rRNA from 1 species